AGUGAACGCUGGCGGCAGGCCUAACACAUGCAAGUCGAACGGCAGCACAAGAGAGCUUGCUCUCUGGGUGGCGAGUGGCGGACGGGUGAGGAAUGCAUCGGAAUCUGCCCAUUUGUGGGGGAUAACCUCGGGAAACCGGGACUAAUACCGCAUACGACCUACGGGUGAAAGCAGGGGAUCUUCGGACCUUGCGCAGAUGGAUGAGCCGAUGCCGGAUUAGCUAGUUGGAGGGGUAAAGGCCCACCAAGGCGACGAUCCGUAGCUGGUCUGAGAGGAUGAUCAGCCACACUGGGACUGAGACACGGCCCAGACGCCUACGGGAGGCAGCAGUGGGGAAUAUUGGACAAAGGGCGCAAGCCUGAUCCAGCCGUGCCGCGUGUGUGAAGAAGGCCUUCGGGUUGUAAAGCACUUUUGUUGGGAAAGAAAAGCAGCCGGUUAAUACCCGGUUGUCAUGACGGUACCCAAAGAAUAAGCACCGGCUAACUUCGUG
rnacentral:rRNA from 1 species